GCCAGGGUAACAUAGUGGAUUGAAUGUUGGACUAUAACUCUGGAGACUCGGGUUCAAUUCCCAGCUUGGCCA
rnacentral:tRNA from 1 species